AUUGAACGCUGGCGGCAGGCCUAACACAUGCAAGUCGAGCGAGCGGCGGACGGGUGAGUAAUGUCUGGGAAACUGCCUGAUGGAGGGGGAUAACUACUGGAAACGGUAGCUAAUACCGCAUACCAUCAGAUGUGCCCAGAUGGGAUUAGCUAGUAGGUGGGGUAACGGCUAACCUAGGCGACGCUCCCUAGCUGGUCUGAGAGGAUGACCAGCCAAACUGGAACUGAGACACGUGCCAGACUCCUACGGGAGGCAGCAUUGGGGAAUAUUGCACAAGGGGCGCAAGCCUGAUGCAGCCAUGCCGCGUGUGUGAAGAAGGCCUUCGGGUUGUAAAGCACGUUCAGCGGGGAGGCGUUACCCGCAGAAGAAGCACCGGCUAACUCCGUGCCAGCAGCCGCGGUAAUAC
rnacentral:rRNA from 1 species